AUGCCGAUGCCGAUGCGAGGGCUCAGCUCCGUCCUGGCGCGGAGGGCCCGCUCACUGACCGGCGAUCCGGCGACCAUUCCUAGAUCCGCCGGUGGUCGGAUCACCUUAAGCGGCCGCCUGGACUCGGCAGCUGCGAGCACGAAGGCCUGUGAUGGUGGUGAAAUCGCCCGAUCCUGGAUCCCCAAGACAUCUACGAGCAAGUCCCUCGUCACAUCAGCCCUCUCUGGAUCUACCUGCAAGUCUAUCGUCACAUCAGCCCUCUCUGGAUAUACGUGCAAGUCCCUCGUCACAUCACCAGUGGCAUGUACUGUAGGAGACCCUGGGCUCUCCUCGAUCACCAAGGCUGUCUCAUCAAGCCAUGUCCCUCCAUUUGGGUUGAGGCCUGUUCACUCCAUACCGUGCCACCGUGUUCUCUAUCAGAGGCUUCUCUACACAGCAGGAAUAAACUGGGUAAAACUAGGCUGCACACCUCCUGUGUCACCUCGCCAUAUCAACACUGGUUGUGGCUGUUGUUUUGCCAUUGUUGCCGUGCAAAAUCUGGAGUCUGUUGUGCUAAUUGAAACAGGGAAGUACUCACGAUUGUCAGUUCAGGAGGUCAUAGAUUGCCUUGACAUUGACUAUCCGAUAAACUUAAUUCGGCGCCAAGGCCCCUGUCAGGCUGCUGACAAACCAAGAGCAAUUCAGCCUGCUGACAAACCCAAACCUGGAGCAAUUCAGGUCAUUGAGUGGGACCAGUUCCUGGGUCAUGAUGACUAUGUCAAACGGCUUCGCACUGACCCUCCAGUACCUGUUGAAGAUCAAUUUAAGAUUGCUUUGUUCACCUCACCUCUUUCUGUUCGGUUCAACGUCAACAAGUACUUUGUAAGAUAUGAUGUCGUGGGAACAAGUUCUGGCUGGUACAAAAUACUUGGGGAGCAGGCUGGGGGAGAAAUGGCUAUGCUCUUCUUCGACGUGGUGGGGAUCCUCGAGGUGUAG
rnacentral:rRNA from 1 species